ACCCGUCUCGUGUGUGCAUUUUGCAAUUUUAUUACCACAAAUAUAUAUUUCUGAAUGAUUUCGAUAUAUUUUCUAGUUUGGCAACAUUUUAUAACGUCAUAGUUAAGUUAAGGAUAAUAAUUUAAUAAUAAAAGUAAUUGGCCGUGUCUCAAUGGGAAGGCUGCAGCCUCCGGAGGUCGCAUUUCUCGGCUACAUACGUCUUGUUUCAGAAUAUUAACAAUUAUAAAGUUGACUGUUAUUCUAAGUUAAUAGUAAAUUGUUUAAUAUGCUUAUGACUUGCGAAUCUAAUGGUCAGUUAACUUAAAUAACCCAGGGUUGAUGACGUAUGGACCCUGCAUAUGCAAGUGCGACGACCUCCGCAGGCUGAAACCAGUCUCUCGAGCUGAAAGAAAACGCAGCUGAGGAGAUAUGAGACUGCAGACAAGAGCCAUCGACCAUCGUUCCAGAAAACUUCCACCUAAACAGAUGCUGAGGCCCAGAUUUCCCUGCCAAGCACUCCAAGGCUCAUCAUGCUCGGAGAGUCCAUUCUGGGGGCAAAAAAUGGAUGCUUUCCAUCGAGGGCAGAGUUCUCCUCCAAUUGAGUGACCGUUGUGAUUUCACUUCUGCUCUAGCCAUGUAUGAUGCAGCCACUACAUUGGAAUUUAUCCAGAGGGUAGAGUCCAGCCCAGGAAGUCAACUAGUUCAGGUCCAGUUUUAAAAGAAUAAUAGUUCUGAAAAAAACGUCUUGGAGAAAAACAAUAUUCAGGUUUGAAAUCCUGCUGUAAAUGUAAAUCAUUUAAUUUUUAUGCAUUUGUA